UACGGAGGGAGCUAGCGUUAUUCGGAAUUACUGGGCGUAAAGCGCACGUAGGCGGCUUUGUAAGUUAGAGGUGAAAGCCUGGAGCUCAACUCCAGAAUUGCCUUUAAGACUGCAUCGCUUGAAUCCAGGAGAGGUGAGUGGAAUUCCGAGUGUAGAGGUGAAAUUCGUAGAUAUUCGGAAGAACACCAGUGGCGAAGGCGGCUCACUGGACUGGUAGUUGACGCUGAGGUGCGAAAGCGUGGGGAGCAAACAGG
rnacentral:rRNA from 1 species